rnacentral:rRNA from 1 species
UGUUAGUGGCAGACGGGUGAGUAAUGCGUAGGAAUCUACCUAGUAGUAUGGAAUAGCCAUUAGAAAUGAUGGGUAAUACUGUAUAAUCCCUGCGGGGGAAAGAUUUAUCGCUAUUAGAUGAGCCUACGUUAGAUUAGCUAGUUGGUAAGGUAAUGGCUUACCAAGGCUAUGAUCUAUAGCUGGUCUGAGAGGACGAUCAGCCACACUGGAACUGAGAUACGGUCCAGACUCCUACGGGAGGCAGCAGUGGGGAAUAUUGGACAAUGGGCGAAAGCCUGAUCCAGCUAUGCCGCGUGAGUGAAGAAGGCCUUCGGGUUG